rnacentral:rRNA from 1 species
GACGAACGCUGGCGGCGUGCCUAAUACAUGCAAGUCGAACGCUUCUUUUCCCACCGGAGCUUGCUCCACCGGGAAAAGAGGAGUGGCGAACGGGUGAGUAACACGUGGGUAACCUGCCCAUCAGAAGGGGAUAACACUUGGAAACAGGUGCUAAUACCGUAUAACAAUCGAAACCGCAUGGUUUCGUUUUGAAAGGCGCUUUACGGUGCCGCUGAUGGAUGGACCCGCGGUGCAUUAGCUAGUUGAUGAGGUAACGGCUCACCAAGGCCACGAUGCAUAGCCGACCUGAGAGGGUGAUCGGCCACAUUGGGACUGAGACACGGCCCAAACUCCUACGGGGGGCAGCAGUAGGGAAUCUUCGGCAAUGGACGAAAGUCUGACCGAGCAACGCCGCGUGAGUGAAGAAGGUUUUCGGAUCGUAAAACUCUGUUGUUAGAGAAGGACAAGGGUGAGAGUAACUGUUCACCCCUUGACGGUAUCUAACCAGAAAGCCACGGCUAACUACGUGCCAGCAGCCGCCGUAA